AUGGGUUUCCUUACAGGCUCAAAGCUGUGUGUGGCUGGCCUGCUGUGCGCGCCAGAAAUCUCCCAGCUCCAGAAUGGAUGGAGAGGACCCCCCCUCGUUUUACCAAUGGAGAAACUGAGACCCAGAAAGGGAAGGAGACUGCCAGGUCCUAUACAGGGCAACAGAGCCUGUUUUCAAAACCUGGCGUCAGAAGCCAGGUGAGUACGGUGCUUUUGUAUCCGUUAGCCUUCGCCAACAACCAGGCACACGCGUG
rnacentral:lncRNA from 12 species